CGGUACACUGCCAUGAUAGGAGGGAAGGAGGGAUGCCCUCCGCCGCACUGACCACAGCCGCCGGCCUGGAGGAGGAGAGUCGCGCUCGGCCGUAAAUCACACGUGACUCCCCAGAGGGAGUCGCACCCGAACCUCAGCACACCGCGCGGGGUCAAGAACAGUCUCCUGCCAAGCCCCACACCCGUCGUUCCCCCGCAGCCGGCCCUCUGUCUCCAGGCUUUGGCAAGCUCGACUUCAGUCUCUCUCUUGAAAUAAGGUCGCUCGGGAGUCCCAGGUGAAGUCGGGGCGCUCAGCAUCUUAAGGCCCCAUGUGGCAUUCUUUCUGCUCCAGGCCGGCCCUCGCCAGCCGAACCCUGGGCGGGAGCCAGAGUCCACGGUGUCCCGAAUCUGUAUAGUUCUCAGGGGCGGAGAAAGAACCUCUCCGCAAGGGAAGAAGCAGUCCGCAGCGGCACCGCGUGGCCAGUCAAGGCACUGCACCGUUCCAGCUUCAGCGACGCUACGACCCGUCUCAGCCUUGGCCCGGGUUAUACAAAGGGGAAAGCGCGAUCAGCAGAAGCCAGACUUAGCAUGCUUCCUCUGCGUCUGUGCUAGAAUCCUCUGGCCACACAUGCUCCUGUACACAAUAAUCCUUAUGCUCUGAACAUGUAUUUUCGCAUGAAAAAUCCUCUUAUGGAUAGGAGAGAACCUCCCGACAGAGAGCCCGGAUAGCUCAGUCGGUAGAGCAUCAGACUUUUAAUCUGAGGGUCCAGGGUUCAAGUCCCUGUUCGGGCGAAAGUCUUUUAAAGCCAUUUCUGAUUACUAUUUUGUUUGGAGGUACAAUUAAUGUAUGUACACAUGGCCCUGCUCAAAUUAAAAA